GAGUUUGAUCGUGGCUCAGAUUGAACGCUGGCGGCAUGCCUUACACAUGCAAGUCGAACGGCAGCACGGGAGCUUGCUCCUGGUGGCGAGUGGCGAACGGGUGAGUAAUGCAUCGGAACGUAUCCUGGAGUGGGGGAUAACGUAGCGAAAGUUACGCUAAUACCGCAUAUUCUGUGAGCAGGAAAGCGGGGGACCUUCGGGCCUCGCGCUCUUGGAGCGGCCGAU
rnacentral:rRNA from 1 species